UGCCCUGGCAGUCAGAGGCGAUGAAGGGCGUGCUAAUCUGCGAUAAGCGCCGGUAAGGUGAUAUGAACCGUUAUAACCGGCGAUACCCGAAUGGGGAAACCCAGUGUGACUCGUCACACUAUCAUUAACUGAAUCCAUAGGUUAAUGAGGCGAACCGGGGGAACUGAAACAUCUAAGUACCCCGAGGAAAAGAAAUCAACCGAGAUUCCCCCAGUAGCGGCGAGCGAACGGGGAGGAGCCCAGAGCCUGAAUCAGCAUGUGUGUUAGUGGAAGCGUCUGGAAAGGCGCGCGAUACAGGGUGACAGCCCCGUACACAAAAGCGCAUGUGCUGUGAGCUCGAUGAGUAGGGCGGGACACGUGGUAUCCUGUCUGAAUAUGGGGGGACCAUCCUCCAAGGCUAAAUACUCCUGACUGACCGAUAGUGAACCAGUACCGUGAGGGAAAGGCGAAAAGAACCCCGGCGAGGGGAGUGAAAAAGAACCUGAAACCGUGUACGUACAAGCAGUGGGAGCACCCUUUGGGUGUGACUGCGUACCUUUUGUAUAAUGGGUCAGCGACUUAUAUUCUGUAGCAAGGUUAACCGAAUAGGGGAGCCGGAGGGAAACCGAGUCUUAACCGGGCGUUAAGUUGCAGGGUAUAGACCCGAAACCCGGUGAUCUAGCCAUGGGCAGGUUGAAGGUUGGGUAACACUAACUGGAGGACCGAACCGACUAAUGUUGAAAAAUUAGCGGAUGACCUGUGGCUGGGGGUGAAAGGCCAAUCAAACCGGGAGAUAGCUGGUUCUCCCCGAAAGCUAUUUAGGUAGCGCCUCGUGAAUUCAUCUCCGGGGGUAGAGCACUGUUUCGGCUAGGGGGCCAUCCCGGCUUACCAACCCGAUGCAAACUGCGAAUACCGGAGAAUGUUAUCACGGGAGACACACGGCGGGUGCUAACGUCCGUCGUGAAGAGGGAAACAACCCAGACCGCCAGCUAAGGUCCCAAAGUCAUGGUUAAGUGGGAAACGAUGUGGGAAGGCCCAGACAGCCAGGAUGUUGGCUUAGAAGCAGCCAUCAUUUAAAGAAAGCGUAAUAGCUCACUGGUCGAGUCGGCCUGCGCGGAAGAUGUAACGGGGCUAAACCAUGCACCGAAGCUGCGGCAGCGACACUGUGUGUUGUUGGGUAGGGGAGCGUUCUGUAAGCCUGCGAAGGUGGCCUGUGAGGGUUGCUGGAGGUAUCAGAAGUGCGAAUGCUGACAUAAGUAACGAUAAAGCGGGUGAAAAGCCCGCUCGCCGGAAGACCAAGGGUUCCUGUCCAACGUUAAUCGGGGCAGGGUGAGUCGACCCCUAAGGCGAGGCCGAAAGGCGUAGUCGAUGGGAAACGGGUUAAUAUUCCCGUACUUGGUGUUACUGCGAAGGGGGGACGGAGAAGGCUAUGUUGGCCGGGCGACGGUUGUCCCGGUUUAAGCGUGUAGGUGUGUGUUCCAGGUAAAUCCGGUUCACUUUAACACUGAGGCGUGACGACGAGGCACUACGGUGCUGAAGCAACAAAUGCCCUGCUUCCAGGAAAAGCCUCUAAGCAUCAGGUAACAUCAAAUCGUACCCCAAACCGACACAGGUGGUCAGGUAGAGAAUACCAAGGCGCUUGAGAGAACUCGGGUGAAGGAACUAGGCAAAAUGGUGCCGUAACUUCGGGAGAAGGCACGCUGACACGUAGGUGAAGUGAUUUACUCAUGGAGCUGAAGUCAGUCGAAGAUACCAGCUGGCUGCAACUGUUUAUUAAAAACACAGCACUGUGCAAACACGAAAGUGGACGUAUACGGUGUGACGCCUGCCCGGUGCCGGAAGGUUAAUUGAUGGGGUCAGCGCAAGCGAAGCUCCUGAUCGAAGCCCCGGUAAACGGCGGCCGUAACUAUAACGGUCCUAAGGUAGCGAAAUUCCUUGUCGGGUAAGUUCCGACCUGCACGAAUGGCGUAAUGAUGGCCAGGCUGUCUCCACCCGAGACUCAGUGAAAUUGAACUCGCUGUGAAGAUGCAGUGUACCCGCGGCAAGACGGAAAGACCCCGUGAACCUUUACUAUAGCUUGACACUGAACAUUGAGCCUUGAUGUGUAGGAUAGGUGGGAGGCUUUGAAGUGUGGACGCCAGUCUGCAUGGAGCCGACCUUGAAAUACCACCCUUUAAUGUUUGAUGUUCUAACGUGGACCCGUUACCCGGGUUGCGGACAGUGUCUGGUGGGUAGUUUGACUGGGGCGGUCUCCUCCUAAAGAGUAACGGAGGAGCACGAAGGUUGGCUAAUCCUGGUCGGACAUCAGGAGGUUAGUGCAAUGGCAUAAGCCAGCUUGACUGCGAGCGUGACGGCGCGAGCAGGUGCGAAAGCAGGUCAUAGUGAUCCGGUGGUUCUGAAUGGAAGGGCCAUCGCUCAACGGAUAAAAGGUACUCCGGGGAUAACAGGCUGAUACCGCCCAAGAGUUCAUAUCGACGGCGGUGUUUGGCACCUCGAUGUCGGCUCAUCACAUCCUGGGGCUGAAGUAGGUCCCAAGGGUAUGGCUGUUCGCCAUUUAAAGUGGUACGCGAGCUGGGUUUAGAACGUCGUGAGACAGUUCGGUCCCUAUCUGCCGUGGGCGCUGGAGAACUGAGGGGGGCUGCUCCUAGUACGAGAGGACCGGAGUGGACGCAUCACUGGUGUUCGGGUUGUCAUGCCAAUGGCACUGCCCGGUAGCUAAAUGCGGAAGAGAUAAGUGCUGAAAGCAUCUAAGCACGAAACUUGCCCCGAGAUGAGUUCUCCCUGAGACUUAGAGUCUCCUGAAGGAACGUUGAAGACGACGACGUUGAUAGGCCGGGUGUGUAAGCGCAGCGAUGCGUUGAGCUAACCGGUACUAAUGAACCGUGAGGCUUAACCUUACAACGCCGAAG
rnacentral:rRNA from 1 species